rnacentral:lncRNA from 1 species
UUUCUGAUUUCUCUUAAUAGAUUUGUUUUGAAAGGAAUUGAAAAAAAGGUAUGUAUAAUAUUUUUUUGUUCGGCUUAUUACUAAAUUAUAAUAUUCUGGUGUAUUUGAUAUAGAAAACGAGCAGUUAUUUUGAUAAGAACAAUUAAAAAAAAAUUUUUAUCCUACUUAAAAGUUCAUUUAGGACAACAGUUAACUUUGACAAUGAAUUUCCUUGUCAUUACAGAUAAUUUGCAUCUGCUAUACAGAAUGAAGGUCUUUGUAUUUAAUAGUCUAGUUUUGGUAGUACUGGGAACAUUACAAGUCACCUCUGCAGGUUGUUGUGCAGAUGGAUGGACAUCGUACAGAUCCCAUUGCUAUUUCAUUGCAUAUGGAGUACAGCUGACAUUUGCAGAUGCACAACGUUACUGCAAAGCUAGAGGUGCAUAUCUUACACACGACUUGAGACCUGGGCUGAAAAUAUAUUUCUGCGAAAGAUGCUCUCAAAAUCAAAAGGUAAAAUUUUGUAAUAUAUUAUUAUAUGGUAGUAUUUCGCAUUUGUCCGUAAUUCGAAGGAAAAUGUUUACUUAGUUAAGUAG